rnacentral:rRNA from 1 species
CCUACGGGAGGCAGCAGUGAGGAAUAUUGGUCGAUGGGCGCGAGCCUGAACCAGCCAAGUCGCGUGAGGGAAGACGGUCCUAUGGAUUGUAAACCUCUUUUGUCGGGGAGCAAAAGACGCCACGCGUGGCGUUCCGAGAGUACCCGAAGAAAAAGCAUCGGCUAACUCCGUGCCAGCAGCCGCGGUAAGACGGAGGAUGCGAGCGUUAUCCGGAUUUAUUGGGUUUAAGGGGUGCGCAGGGGGAAGAUCAAGUCAGCGGUAAAAUUGCGAGGCUCACCCUCUUCGCGCCGUUGAAACUGGUUUUCUUGAGUGAGUGUGACGUAUGCGGCAUGCGUGGUGUAGCGG